rnacentral:rRNA from 1 species
UACGUAGGGUGCGAGCGUUGUCCGGAAUUAUUGGGCGUAAAGAGCUCGUAGGCGGUUUGUCACGUCUGCUGUGAAAUCCCGAGGCUCAACCUCGGGCCUGCAGUGGGUACGGGCAGACUGGAGUGCGGUAGGGGAGAAUGGAAUUCCUGGUGUAGCGGUGGAAUGCGCAGAUAUCAGGAGGAACACCGAUGGCGAAGGCAGUUCUCUGGGCCGUAACUGACGCUGAGGAGCGUAAGCGUGGGGAGCGAACAGG